rnacentral:lncRNA from 1 species
UAACACCUUUGUAGUGCCUUCAUAUUGUCUUCGUAGUGUAAUAACACUUCUCUGGAAAAGAACAACCAUUCAUAGUGCUACUUAAAGAUGUGCUGCUCCUUCCUGACAGUUUUGCUGUUUUUUUGAGAAAGCAUAUCUGGUGUCUUUAAGCUCAUCCACCUGUCACUGUGCUCUUUCAGCAAUUACACAUCUGUCAAGUGUCACCCGGGCUUAGCUCUGACCGACAGGGUUAUGUCAAGCAGUCAGCCAUUACCCAAAUGGUUUAGAGUGGAGGGAUAGUAGGCACAUACUGCGGAAGAGUGAGCAUGGGUCAUUGUAACUGGGAGCUAGGGUUAGGUUAGGAGGGCCAGUGUAACUGGGAGCUAGGGUUAGGUUAGGAGGGCCAGUGUGACUGAGAGCUAGGGUUAUGUUAGGAGGGCCAGUGUGACUGGGAGCUAGGGUUAGGUUAGGAGGGCCAGUGUGACUGGGAGCUAGGGUUGUGUUAGGAGGGCCAGUGUGACUGGGAGCUAGAGUUGUGUUAGGAGGGCCAGUGUGACUGGGAGCUAGGGUUGUGUUAGGAGGGCCAGUGUGACUGGGAGCUAGGGUUGUGUUAGGAGGGCCAGUGUGACUGAGAGCUAGGGUUGUGUUAGGAGGGCCAGUGUGACUGAGAGCUAGGGUUGUGUUAGGAGCGCCAGUGUGACUGAGAGCUAGGGUUGUGUUAGGAGGGCCAGUGUGACUGGGAGCUAGGCUUGUGUUAGGAGCGCCAGUGUGACUGAGAGCUAGGGUUGUGUUAGGAGGGCCAGUGUGACUGGGAGCUAGGCUUGUGUUAGGAGCGCCAGUGUGACUGAGAGCUAGGGUUGUGUUAGGAGCGCCAGUGUGACUGGGAGCUAGGCUUGUGUUAGGAGGGCCAGUGUGACUGGGAGCUAGGCUUGUGUUAGGAGGGCCAGUGUGACUGAGAGCUAGGGUUGUGUUAGGAGGGCCAGUGUGACUGGGAGCUAGGGUUGUGUUAGGAGGGCCAGUGUGACUGGGAGCUAGGCUUGUGUUAGGAGGGCCAGUGUGACUGGGAGCUAGGGUUGUGUUAGGAGGGCCAGUGUGACUGGGAGCUAGGCUUGUGUUAGGAGCGCCAGUGUGACUGGGAGCUAGGCUUGUGUUAGGAGCGCCAGUGUGACUGAGAGCUAGGGUUGUGUUAGGAGGGCCAGUGUGACUGGGAGCUAGGGUUGUGUUAGGAGCGCCAGUGUGACUGGGAGCUAGGGUUGUGUUAGGAGGGCCAGUGUGACUGGGAGCUAGGGUUGUGUUAGGAGGGCCAGUGUGACUGGGAGCUAGGGUUGUGUUAGGAGGGCCAGUGUGACUGGGAGCUAGGGUUGUGUUAGGAGGGCCAGUGUGACUAGGAGCUAGGGUUGUGUUAGGAGGGCCAGUGUGACUGAGAGCUAGGGUUGUGUUAGGAGCGCCAGUUGACUGAGAGCUAGGGUUGUGUUAGGAGGGCCAGUGUGACUGGGAGCUAGGGUUGUGUUAGGAGGGCCAGUGUGACUGGGAGCUAGGCUUGUGUUAGGAGCGCCAGUGUGACUGAGAGGUAGGGUUGUGUUAGGAGGGCCAGUGUGACUGGGAGCUAGGGUUGUGUUAGGAGGGCCAGUGUGACUGGGAGCUAGGGUUGUGUUAGGAGGGCCAGUGUGACUGGGAGCUAGGGUUGUGUUAGGAGGGCCAGUGUGACUGGGAGCUAGGCUUGUGUUAGGAGGGCCAGUGUGACUGGGAGCUAGGGUUGUGUUAGGAGGGCCAGUGUGACUGGGAGCUAGGGUUGUGUUAGGAGGGCCACUGUGACUGAGAGCUAGGGUUGUGUUAGGAGCGCCAGUGUGACUGGGAGCUAGGCUUGUGUUAGGAGCGCCAGUGUGACUGGGAGCUAGGGUUGUGUUAGGAGGGCCAGUGUGACUGGGAGCUAGGGUUGUGUUAGGAGGGCCAGUGUGACUGGGAGCUAGGGUUGUGUUAGGAGGGCCAGUGUGACUGGGAGCUAGGGUUGUGUUAGGAGCGCCAGUGUGACUGGGAGCUAGGGUUGUGUUAGGAGCGCCAGUGUGACUGGGAGCUAGGGUUGUGUUAGGAGGGCCAGUGUGACUGGGAGCUAGGGUUGUGUUAGGAGGGCCAGUGUGACUGGGAGCUAGGCUUGUGUUAGGAGCGCCAGUGUGACUGGGACCUAGGGUUGUGUUAGGAGGGCCAGUGUGACUGGGAGCUAGGGUUGUGUUAGGAGGGCCAGUGUGACUGGGAGCUAGGGUUGUGUUAGGAAGGCCAGUGUGACUGGGAGCUAGGGUUGUGUUAGGAGGGCCAGUGUGACUGGGAGCUAGGGUUGUGUUAGGAGGGCCAGUGUGACUGGGAGCUAGGGUUGUGUUAGGAGGGCCAGUGUGACUGGGAGCUA